rnacentral:lncRNA from 1 species
GCAGUCAUGAUGCUAUCGCAGUGCAGAUGCAAUGGCUAGAGAAGAAACCGACGACUAGCUCAUGUAGACGAUAGUCAUUUGUGUUGAUGUCAAGGUAGUCAAGUAUGAGGACGGGCAGUUGUUGUCGAUAUGUCGUGUGAAGGAUAGUUGUGAUCGAUGGAAGUUGUCGAGGUCGCCAAAAAGUUAGAGCCACCCAAGUCGCGGGCAUGCUAGAAGUGUGGUGGCGCACAGGAGGAAGCGCCAUAGACGAAGAUGGCGACGCAGUCGAUGAAGAAGGUUGAUGCCAAAGUCGACAUUGUCGAACCAUCACGGUUGAGGCGUGUGCUAGGUUUGCCAAGCCUGAGAACACGUUGGGGAUGAAGGCACACACCGGUGUUGCCAUUACUUGACGUACUAGAUGGACGGACCCAACCAUGUGUCAGCGUCUGAAGGGACUAGCGGAGAAGGUUGUGCACUAAAGAAUGACGAGGCAGAAGGUGUCAAUCUAGUCGGCGGUUGUCGGACUGGACAAAGUAGACGAGGACGAGAGGACAACACUGGUGAUGAGGUUGUGCUAGAUGAAGUCGAAGAAGUGAUGGGUGACACAUCUAGGAUUCUGGAGUUGCAGCUGUGAGAGAGCCGCACCACACAAGGAGAGACGCGAUGGUGCUAGAGUGUUGAGAUAGUUGUACUCGAAGAAGGUGAAGAGCACGAACAGUUGGGGUAGUCCAUGUGUGAGAGGCACACAACGAAGUAGUUGACGACAAUGUAGGGGCAACGACUAGGAUGGCAACAAGCAGUAACGACGUUGCUUCUUGAGGAGGUGACACAACGACAACCCUUGUACUUGGAGAGGCAUGCAGUAGACAACAUACGUCAUGGGAGGAUGGUCGCACAUAAUUGAUUGAUUAGGUCGAGAGCGUGCGAGGCAGAGACGAUGAUGGUGAAGGCAAUGUCGAAGGUGGAGCCUCUCGAUCGGUGGUGGUGAGGAUGAGUUGGUGUAGGUCGUCGUGCAGGCCUUGAGGUAUGGCACACACGUGCGUUUCAGGUACGUCGCAGGGCACGAUGCAGCAUAGUCGAAGAAGAUGAAGAUGAUGGUGUUGUCGAUGCUAAUGUUUAAGAUGCAUGUGGUCGAUGGGCAGUGGGCGACGCAAGUCCGAUCACC